AUUGAACACUGGCGGCAGGCCUAACACAUGCAAGUCGAGCGGAUGAAGGGAGCUUGCUCCUGGAUUCAGCGGCGGACGGGUGAGUAAUGCCUAGGAAUCUGCCUGGUAGUGGGGGAUAACGUCCGGAAACGGGCGCUAAUACCGCAUACGUCCUGAGGGAGAAAGUGGGGGAUCUUCGGACCCCACGCUAUCAGAUGAGCCUAGGUCGGAUUAGCUAGUUGGUGGGGUAAAGGCCUACCAAGGCGACGAUCCGUAACUGGUCUGAGAGGAUGAUCAGUCACACUGGAACUGAGACACGGUCCAGACUCCUACGGGAGGCAGCAGUGGGGAAUAUUGGACAAAGGGCGAAAGCCUGAUCCAGCCAUGCCGCGUGUGUGAAGAAGGUCUUCGGAUUGUAAAGCACUUUGAGUUGGGAGGAAGGGCAGUAAGUUAAUACCUUGCUGUUUUGACGUUACCAACAGAAUAAGCACCGGCUAACUUCGUG
rnacentral:rRNA from 1 species